UUUUAAAACGUACAAAAACUGGAUCUCCAUUGCGCCUCUCUCUCCUUUGCAUCCGGCCUGACCCUAGCCCUCCGUCGGUCGAUUCCCGGAGAUUCUCUGCCUCCCUUUCGACAGCGGUCGCCGGCCGCCGCCCCUUGCUCAUCCGCAUCGAAUCCAAACUCCUCCGCCCCGGAUCCAACCCCCGCUGGUCGCCGCCCUGACCUUCUGUUCACAAGCUCCACAAUCAAGGGCAGCGAGAAGAGGUUAGAGGAAGCAUCGUCAUCAUCAUGCAAAUUUCAUAAAAGAUUUUUUUCUGAAGAAGGAAGUUAAUUACCCUUAGCAAUUUGAAAGGUCAGCGGUGGUGUGAUUAGUCCUGAAUAUGAAUCUCCAGCAAUGUAAAGUGGUUUAGACAAGAAUUCUCGAUGUUCAGCAUACCACUGCAUUGCAAUGGAAGGGAGGGAUAAUCUCAGCUGAUCGAAUAUCAUGAGAAUUCAGAAUCAAUUAAUCGAGUGAGAAGAUGUGAUGGCGACCUUGGUAAGGAAGAUGGCAAUCUGGUUGACAGCCUUGGUGUCGGAGGACUUGUAUCCAUCGUCCGUGACAGAGUAUGAGAAACCAGCUCCAACAGGGGAAUCAAGGAAGAUUACACUGGCCACCUAUAUUUACAUAUAUAUAAUAUAUAAUAUUUUGUUGAGAGGCAAGAAUUAAUAAAAACUUGAGAUGCAUCCAAAAGGGAAGGAUAUAUGGACUAUUACUAGCCUUUGUCCAGGAAUCCGGUCUGUACACCAGUUUUGGCAUUCCACCACUGUCCAUGUAAGAAUAUGGAGAUUCAAAGCUGAGAGGGCCUGAAGUAAGUGAUCUAAGUGAGUAUUUCGUUUUCUUCAAAAAGAACCUCCGGCCUCUGUAUGGAUUGAUCACGUACCGAUUUCGUAGACAAGGCCGGAGAAGGCUGAGCAUCCGGGCCCACCUGUCAGCCAGAGCACGACGGGGUCCUCCUCCGGCUUCCUCUCCGAUUCGAUGAAGUAGUAGAAGAGGCGGCUGUCAUUCACCUCCACGUACCCUGAUUCAAGGGAGAACGGGAGAGGUCCAUGGAAGCCAGGGAGAUGCCUCACCACGGUCCGCUUGUUCUUGUUCUCGCUGGCGGUGGCCUGCGCGAGGACGGUGAAGAAGAAGAAGAAGAUGAUGACGAAGAAGAAGCCAUGUCUACUUUUCAUUGUCUCCUGGGCCGAGCUAGCUACCUAGCUGCUGUGGUAUGCAUUAAUAUCUGCGGCUCCCCCCUCCAGUACUUAUACAAUGUAACUAAUGGAUGGGCACCUUAAUUUCCUCGAGUAGAGAAAAGGAGUAGUGCCAUUUCAUUUGUCAUUAGGUGCAGCUGGCUAGCGCUGCUGUCUCUUUGAGUUCACUCGAGAAUGAGAUCCACGUUCACUGGCAAUAAACCGCACGCAAGUGUCACGUACACGAGACACCAUGACAUCUACCAGCUUCUAAUCUAUACUGGAGUAGUAUUAAUCAAUUAAUUGCUCCUUGCAUGCUAGCUAGUCAAAAUUAAGCAGCUGCUACUGUUUGGGUGCUUCAAAUUAGUCAGGGUUUAUCUAUACUUGUGGUAA